rnacentral:rRNA from 1 species
CGCUGGCGGCGUGCUUAACACAUGCAAGUCGAACGCGAAAGGGACUUCGGUCCUGAGUAAAGUGGCGCACGGGUGAGUAACGCGUAGAUAACCUGUCUUCAUGUCUGGAAUAAUACGCCGAAAGGGGUACUAAUACCGGAUAUUCUUGCUUUUCAUAAGUUAUGCAAGCAAAGGUGGCCUCUGCAUAUGCUACUGCAUGAAGAGGGGUCUGCGUACCAUUAGCUAGUAGGUGGGGUAAUGGCCUACCUAGGCGACGAUGGUUAGCGGGUCUGAGAGGAUGAUCCGCCACACUGGCACUGGAACACGGGCCAGACUCCUACGGGAGGCAGCAGUGAGGAAUAUUGCGCAAUGGGGGAAACCCUGACGCAGCGACGCCGCGUGAGUGAGGAAAGGCCUUCGGGUCGUAAAGCUCUGUCAAGAGGAAAGAAGUGUACAAUGGCUAAUACCUGUUGUAUUUGACGGUACCUCUAAAGGAAGCACCGGCUAACUCCGUGCCAGCAGCAGC